rnacentral:rRNA from 1 species
UACGUAGGGGGCAAGCGUUGUCCGGAAUCAUUGGGCGUAAAGUGUGCGCAGGCGGCAGAGCAAGUCGAGUGUGAAAGCCCCGGGCUUAACUUGGAGGGGUCGUCGAAGACUGGCGAACUAGGGUCUGGCAGAGGCAGGUAGAAUUCCCGGUGGAGCGGUGAAAUGCGCAGAUAUCGGGAGGAACACCAGUAGCGAAGGCGGCACUCUGGGCCGGUACUGACGCUGAGGAGCGAAAGCGUGGGGAGCAAACAGG